AAGCCUUUCCGUAGGUGAACCUGCGCAAGGAUCAUUACAGAAUCGAACGCGGGUCGGGCUGAUUGCUGGCUCCUCGGAGCAGGUGCACGCCCUCCCCGACGCCUUCCAUUCUCCACGUCCCCACCUGUGCACCUUCUGUAGGCCGUGAAGCCGCCUCGUUCGGCUCCCUCGGCUCUACGAGAUCUUUUGUACACCCUUGAGAAAAACGUGUUGCAGAGUGUUCUUGUACGACCGGGGACCCCUCGUCGGCCCCAUAGACAUACCAAUACAACUUUCAACAACGGAUCUCUUGGCUCUCGCAUCGAUGAAGAACGCAGCGAAAUGCGAUAAGUAAUGUGAAUUGCAGAAUUCAGUGAAUCAUCGAAUCUUUGAACGCACCUUGCGCUCUUUGGCCAUUCCGAAGAGCAUGCCUGUUUGAGUGUCAUCGAAUCCUCAAGCCCAGCCCGGCUUCUCCCCGGGCUUUUGGGGGCUUGGAGUUGGGAGCUGUGCGGGUCGCUAGCCUUCGCGAUCCGCUCUCCUCAAAGGCAUCAGCAGGGCCCAGUCGCAGUCGGCCUCGUGGCGUUGAUAGUCCAUCUACGCCCCCCCGCGGCCGCACUCAGCGUGGCUCGGCUUCGAACCGUCCGGCCCCUCGAGCCGGACAGGCCGACACACCCCGGCCUCACCCCUUGACACCCUUGACCUCAAAUCAGGUAGGACUACCCGCUGAACUUAAGCAUAUCAAUAAGCCGGGGGAAAA
rnacentral:rRNA from 1 species